AAGAGCCGGAUGCGGGAAAUCUGCACGUCCGGAUCCGUGGGGGCCCCGGGAAGGUGACGACCCGGGGCUACCCGAC
rnacentral:ncRNA from 1 species